UACGUAGGGGGCAAGCGUUGUCCGGAUUUAUUGGGCGUAAAGAGCGUGUAGGCGGCCAUACAGGUCAGCUGUGAAAACUCGAGGCUCAACCUCGAGACGUCGGUUGAAACCGUAUGGCUAGAGUCCGGAAGAGGAGAGUGGAAUUCCCGGUGUAGCGGUGAAAUGCGCAGAUAUCUGGAGGAACACCGGUGGCGAAGGCGGCAUCCUGGACCGACACUGACGCUGAGGAGCGAAAGCCAGGGGAGCAAACGGG
rnacentral:rRNA from 1 species